AGAGGCGAUGAAGGGCGUGCUAAUCUGCGAUAAGCGCCGGUAAGGUGAUAUGAACCGUUAUAACCGGCGAUACCCGAAUGGGGAAACCCAGUGUGACUCGUCACACUAUCAUUAACUGAAUCCAUAGGUUAAUGAGGCGAACCGGGGGAACUGAAACAUCUAAGUACCCCGAGGAAAAGAAAUCAACCGAGAUUCCCCCA
rnacentral:rRNA from 1 species